rnacentral:rRNA from 1 species
GAUGAACGCUAGCGAUAGGCUUAACACAUGCAAGUCGAGGGGCAGCAUGAUCUUAGCUUGCUAAGGUCGAUGGCGACCGGCGCACGGGUGCGUAACGCGUAUGCAACUUGCCUUACAGAGGGGGAUAACCCGUUGAAAGACGGACUAAAACCGCAUACACUUGUAUUAUUGCAUGAUAUUACAAGGAAAUAUUUAUAGCUGUAAGAUAGGCAUGCGUCCCAUUAGCUGGUUGGUGAGGUAACGGCUCACCAAGGCGACGAUGGGUAGGGGAACUGAGAGGUUUAUCCCCCACACUGGUACUGAGACACGGACCAGACUCCUACGGGAGGCAGCAGUGAGGAAUAUUGGUCAAUGGGCGAGAGCCUGAACCAGCCAAGUCGCGUGAAGGAAGACAGUCCUAAGGAUUGUAAACUUCUUUUAUACGGGAAUAACGGGCGAUACGAGUAUUGCAUUGAAUUAC